CCUUCGCCAGCCGAGGCCAGAGUCAUUCUGGGACAGCUGGCCCCCGAGCCCUGCUGAGGAGCCCGGACGCAGCCCUCUGCUCCGAGGAGCCGUAUUCCUGGCCGGACAUGAAAGGAAAGAUCAUAACAGCCCGUUCUCUGCCGGCUGCUUAUCCCAAGCGGGAGCCCAGCGAAAUCCACGCCGCGAGCCCUCAUCCUCCCGUCUCGUCCCGCCAACCGCCGCAUCCUGACGGGGUCUGAUGAGACCUGGGGGUCUCGGGGUACACGGAGCCUGCGCCGCACCCCGUGGGCCGCUUGUGCCCAUUCUGCGGAGGCGGCCGCUGGGGCUGAGGGAGGUGGCCGGUCCUCGAGUGACGGGUGACGAGUGACGGGGGUCGGGCUGCGAUGGGAUCCGCCCGUUGCAGCGCCCGGGUCCCUUCCUCCUUCCUAUUUGUCUUCUGCAGGCCGAGGGGCUGGGCCUCGCCUGUACAGGGUGUUCCCUGCAGCUUCGGGAUGGUGUUGUGUAAUCCUGUGGCUGCGUGUGGUGUGUGGGACGCUGAGCGUGGGGGCCUCUGCGGGGUCAGGCAAGGUUAAGCCGAGGCCCGAGCCCGUGGCGUCGGAUGGGAGCGGCCGACAGCACCCCCUCGCCCUGGGGGACCGUGGGGGCAGAUGAUUUACGGCCGUCUCCUCCCUUGGUGCCACGGCAGAUGCAUCCGGAGACGACGUGAGGACACACAGAUGGGCGAGAAGAGUCUCCCACGAGGCGGCCCCGUCCCACUCGCCUGAAUCAGAGGGUCCGGCCGCGCCCGGCGGGGGCCGCGGGUGGGAGCCGGGCUUCCUUGGCUUUCCGUGUUGUUAGCGCAGAGCUUUGGCACACCUGGGCCCGGCGUGCGAGGCUGCUCUGGAACAGAAGUGGUUCAAAGGGCAGGGCCGUUUGGCUGGCGCGUGGGCCACCCCAGCGCUCUCCGGCCUCUCUGUGUGAGAGCAGUAACUCUCCAGUGAGACGGAAACGAUUCUGAGAUAACCGGAGAACACUGGCUUUCCACGCACACAAACAAAGCAGUUCAAUUUUUU